GACGAACGCUGGCGGCGUGCCUAAUACAUGCAAGUUGAGCGCUGAAGGUUGGUACUUGUACCAACUGGAUGAGCAGCGAACGGGUGAGUAACGCGUGGGGAAUCUGCCUUUGAGCGGGGGACAACAUUUGGAAACGAAUGCUAAUACCGCAUAAAAACUUUAAACACAAGUUUUAAGUUUGAAAGAUGCAAUUGCAUCACUCAAAGAUGAUCCCGCGUUGUAUUAGCUAGUUGGUGAGGUAAAGGCUCACCAAGGCGAUGAUACAUAGCCGACCUGAGAGGGUGAUCGGCCAAAUUGGGACUGGGACACGGCCCAAACUCCUACGGGAGGCAGCAGUAGGGAAUCUUCGGCAAUGGACGAAAGUCUGACCGAGCAACGCCGCGUGAGGGAAGAAGGGUUUCGGAUCGUAAAACUCUGUUGGUAGAGAAGAACGUUGGUGAGAGUGGAAAGCUCAUCAAGUGACGGUAACUACCCAGAAAGGGACGGCUAACUACGUG
rnacentral:rRNA from 1 species